rnacentral:rRNA from 1 species
GAUGAACGCUGGCGGCGUGCCUAAUACAUGCAAGUCGAGCGAACGGAUGAGGAGCUUGCUCCUCUGACGUUAGCGGCGGACGGGUGAGUAACACGUGGAUAACCUACCUAUAAGACUGGGAUAACUUCGGGAAACCGGAGCUAAUACCGGAUAAUAUAUUGAACCGCAUGGUUCAAUAGUGAAAGACGGUUUUGCUGUCACUUAUAGAUGGAUCCACGCCGCAUUAGCUAGUUGGUAAGGUAACGGCUUACCAAGGCAACGAUGCGUAGCCGACCUGAGAGGGUGAUCGGCCACACUGGAACUGAGACACGGUCCAGACUCCUACGGGAGGCAGCAGUAGGGAAUCUUCCGCAAUGGGCGAAAGCCUGACGGAGCAACGCCGCGUGAGUGAUGAAGGUCUUCGGAUCGUAAAACUCUGUUAUUAGGGAAGAACAAAUGUGUAAGUAACUAUGCACGUCUUGACGGUACCUAAUCAGAAAGCCACGGCUAACUACGUG